CACCCAUUGUUUGUUAUCCUACGUCGUUAUCAAUAAUAUAGUAUUACAAAUUAUUCUACACACUCCCCCCUUUGAGCCUGUAAGGGUCAAACAUGACUUGUGUUCUCCAACGUGCAUCCAAAGCUGCUGCUCUCCUGGGUCUAUUACUAUGGACACAGCUUUCCACCUUACCCUUCUCUCCGUCUUUCUCAUUCAUUUCCGUCUUUCCUUUCUCAUUAAUUUUCGUCUUUCCUUUCUGGUUAUCAUACCCAUCCACUUCAUUUUCAACUUUAUUAUCCUUUCUUUCUUCCGUACCGCUUCCGUUCUCAUUUAACUCUACAGGAUACAAUUUCUGAACUGGUCUAUUAAGAUAUAUUGGAUUUCCUUUAGUCAUCACUCUCACUUUCGCUCCUCAAACCAC